rnacentral:rRNA from 1 species
GGAUAACCUGCCCUUAGGACUGGGAUAACCCUGGGAAACUGGGGAUAAUACUGGAUAGGCAAUUUUUCCUGUAAUGGUUUUUUGUUUAAAUGUUUUUUCGCCUAAGGAUGGGUCUGCGGCCGAUUAGGUAGUUGGUUAGGUAAUGGCUUACCAAGCCGUUGAUCGGUACGGGUUGUGAGAGCAAGAGCCCGGAGAUGGAACCUGAGACAAGGUUCCAGGCCCUACGGGGUGCAGCAGGCGCGAAACCUCCGCAAUGUGAGAAAUCGCGACGGGGGGAUCCCAAGUGCCAUUCUUAACGGGAUGGCUUUUCAUUAGUGUAAAGAGCUUUUGGAAUAAGAGCUGGGCAAGACCGGUGCCAGCCGCCGCGGUAACACCGGCAGCUCUAGUGGUAGCAAUUUUUAUUGGGCCUAAAGCGUCCGUAGCCGGUUUAAUAAGUCUCUGGUGAAAUCCUGCAGCUUAACUGUGGGAGUUGCUGGAGAUACUAUUAGACUU